rnacentral:rRNA from 1 species
AGAUUGAACGCUGGCGGCAUGCCUUACACAUGCAAGUCGAACGGCAGCACGGGAGCAAUCCUGGUGGCGAGUGGCGAACGGGUGAGUAAUACAUCGGAACGUGCCCAAUCGUGGGGGAUAACGCAGCGAAAGCUGUGCUAAUACCGCAUAAGAUCUACGGAUGAAAGCAGGGGAUCGCAAGACCUUGCGCGAAUGGAGCGGCCGAUGGCAGAUUAGGUAGUUGGUGAGGUAAAGGCUCACCAAGCCUUCGAUCUGUAGCUGGUCUGAGAGGACGACCAGCCACACUGGGACUGAGACACGGCCCAGACUCCUACGGGAGGCAGCAGUGGGGAAUUUUGGACAUGGGCGAAAGCCUGAUCCAGCCAUGCCGCGUGCAGGAUGAAGCCGUUGGUUGUAACUGCUUUGUACGAACGAAAGUCUCUUUACUAAUAAGAGGAUCGAUACGACGGUACGUAAGAAUAAGACGACCGACUAACUACGUACG